rnacentral:lncRNA from 1 species
GAGAACAUGGGCAAUCACCUCCUCGUCAGGAGCUAGUGUCACACUUCUCACACCCCUGCCAGCUUCAGGCGUGGGCUCUGGUGUGCGGAGCAGGGGCAGCUGUCCUGCAGGGCCGAGUGGAGUGGCUCUGCUCUAAUCAGAAGAGGUAACCUGGAAUGAGUUGUGUGUACAUGACACAAAAGUCCUGCUGAGAGACACUAAGGAAUGGAACCAUCUGAAACAGAGA